AUUGAACGCUGGCGGCAGGCUUAACACAUGCAAGUCGAACGAGUGGCGGACGGGUGAGUAAUGCUUGGGGAUCUAGCUUAUGGAGGGGGAUAACUACGGGAAACUGUAGCUAAUACCGCAUACCAUAGGAUGAGCCCAUGUGGGAUUAGGUAGUUGGUGGGGUAAUGGCCUACCAAGCCGACGAUCUCUAGCUGGUCUGAGAGGAUGACCAGCCACACCGGGAUGGAGACACGGCCCGGACUCCUACGGGAGGCAGAAGUGGGGAAUAGUGCGCAAUGGGGGCAACCUGACGAAGCCAUGCCGCGUGAAUGAAGAAGGCCUUAGGGUUGUAAAGUUCUUUCGGUGGCGAGGCGUUAAUCACAGAAGAAGCACCGGCUAACUCCGUGCCAGCAGCCGCGGUAAUUC
rnacentral:rRNA from 1 species